CACGUAGGAGGCAAGCGUUGUCCGGAAUCAUUGGGCGUAAAGAGCGCGUAGGCGGCCCGGUAAGUCCGUUCUGAAAGUCGGAGGCUCAACCUCCGAAAGCGGAUGGAUACUGCCGGGCUAGAGUCCGGAAGAGGCGAGUGGAAUUCCUGGUGUAGCGGUGGAAUGCGCAGAUAUCAGGAGGAACACCAACGGCGAAGGCAGCUCGCUGGGACGGUACUGACGCUGAGGCGCGAAAGCGUGGGGAGCGAACAGG
rnacentral:rRNA from 1 species